rnacentral:rRNA from 1 species
UACGAAGGGGGCUAGCGUUGUUCGGAUUUACUGGGCGUAAAGCGCACGUAGGCGGAUCGUUAAGUCGGGGGUGAAAUCCUGGAGCUCAACUCCAGAACUGCCUUCGAUACUGGCGCUCUUGAGUCCGGAAGAGGUGAUUGGAACUCCUAGUGUAGAGGUGGAAUUCGUAGAUAUUAGGAAGAACACCAGUGGCGAAGGCGCCUCACUGGUCCGGUACUGACGCUGAGGUGCGAAAGCGUGGGGAGCAAACAGG